GGCACGCCUAACACAUGCAAGUCGAACGAAGUAGCAAUACUUAGUGGCAGACGGGUGAGUAACAUGUAGGAAUCUUCCCUAUGGCCUGGAAUAACACGAGGAAACUUGUGCUAAUACCGGAUAAGUCUUUACAGAGAAAGCUUUAUGCACCAUUGGAUGAGCCUGCACUUGAUUAGUUUGUUGGUGGGGUAAUGGCCUACCAAGACUUUGAUCAAUAGCUGAUUUGAGAGGAUGAUCAGCCACAUUGGGACUGAGACACGGCCCAAACUCCUACGGGAGGCAGCAGUGGGGAAUCUUGCACAAUGGAGGAAACUCUGAUGCAGCGAUGCCGCGUGAGUGAAGAAGGCCUUUGGGUUGUAAAGCUCUUUCGUCGGGGAAGAAAAUGACUGUACCCGAAUAAGAAGGUCCGGCUAACUUCGUGCCAGCAGCCGCGGUAAUACGAAGGGACCUAGCGUAGUUCGGAAUUACUGGGCUUAAAGAGUUCGUAGGUGGUUGAAAAAGUUGGUGGUGAAAUCCCAGAGCUUAACUCUGGAACUGCCAUCAAAACUUUUCAGCUAGAGUUUGAUAGAGGAAAGCAGAAUUUCUAGUGUAGAGGUGAAAUUCGUAGAUAUUAGAAAGAAUACCAAUUGCGAAGGCAGCUUUCUGGAUCAUUACUGACACUGAGGAACGAAAGCAUGGGUAGCGAAGAGGAUUAGAUACCCUCGUAGUCCAUGCCGUAAACGAUGUGUGUUAGACGUUGGAAAUUUAUUUUCAGUGUCGCAGCGAAAGCGAUAAACACACCGCCUGGGG
rnacentral:rRNA from 1 species